UAGAUUUGAUUUAAUUUUUAUUUCCUUCCUUUUGAAUACACUCCUUAAAACUAUUUUUAAGGAUCAAAGUGUUUCAAAUCGUUUACUGUGAAGAAAUUAGAGUGUUCAAAGCAGGCGUAACCUAGCCUUUGAAUAUAUUAGCAUGGGAUAAUGAAAUAGGACUUUAGUUCUACUUUCGUUGGUUUCUAGGGCUGAAGUAAUGAUUAAUAGGGAUAGUUGGGGUCACUAGUAUUUAAUUGUCAGAGGUGAAAUUCUAAGAUUUAUUAAAGACUAACUACUGCGAAAGCAUUUGACAAGGAUGUUUUCAUUAAUCAAGAACGAAAGUUGGGGGAUCGAAGAUGAUCAGAUACCGUCGUAGUCUCAACCAUAAACUAUGCCGACCAAGGAUCCGGGGUUGUUAAUAUGGAUGACUCUCCGGGCACUUAUAGAGAAAUCAUAAGUAUUUGGGCUCCGGGGGGAGUAUGGUCGCAAGGCUGAAACUUAAAGGAAUUGACGGAAGGGCACCACAAGGAGUGGAACCUGCGGUUUAAUUUGACUCAACACGGGAAAACUUACCAGGUCCAGACACAGUGAGGAUUGACAGAUUGAGAGUUCUUUCUUGAUUCUGUGAGUGGUGGUGCAUGGCCGUUUCUAGUUGGUGGAGUGAUUUGUCUGGUUAAUUCCGUUAACGAACGAGACCUUAACCUAUUAAAUAGUUAUUUAAACUUGAUUUCUUGUAAAUCAAAUGUUUAACUAACUUCUUAGAGGGACUCUUCAC
rnacentral:rRNA from 1 species